AAAUAUUAACUCACAACCAUCAACGCCCGGGUACUACGAGCCCCAGCUUAAAACCCAAAGGACUUGACGGUGUCCCAUCCACCUAGAGGAGCCUGUUCUAUAAUCGAUAAUCCCCGCUAAACCCAACCUCCUCUUGCAAUCAGUCUGUAUACCUCCGUCGUAAGCUUACCAUAUGAAUGACCCCAGUAAGCUAAAUGAUUAUAACACCCCAAUACGUCAGGUCAAGGUGCAGCUCAUGAGAAGGCAAGCAAUGGGCUACAAUUUCUAAUCUAGAACAAACGAAACACUGCAUGAAACUCAGCUGUGAAGGCGGAUUUAGUAGUAAAAAGAAAAUAGCGUGUUCUUUUUAACUAGGCCCUGGGACGUGU
rnacentral:rRNA from 1 species